AUGGAUGUUAAAACUAUGAAGGAGAGAAUAUAUCACCUGAAACAGGGCUUUCUCAGUCAGAUUAUUUUACCUAAUCAUAUUUCAGUAACUCAGAUAUUGUGGCAGUAUCACAGCUCACCUUUAUAUGUAAUAUUUUACUGCUGUAAGAAGAUUUCAUUGCAAAGCUUACUUGAAAGGAAUAAUAGGAAAAAAAAAGAAAAAGAAAAAGGAAUUGUGAUUCAAAGAAUCUAUUCAGCUGAUACAGCUUUUGUAGGAAAAACUGCAGGGUGCAAAAUUCACUCCUGGAAGAACUUCAGGGAAGUUUCCUCCAGUUUGUUGCGAAGGAUUUUACUCCCGAAUUCCUCAGAAACGGACACAUCCUUUCCAGGAGCUUCGUGCAGCGUAAGGAGCUGCUGGAUGUUCUCCGCGCCCAAGCCGGCCCAGCCGACCCUUCCGGCCGAGGAAGCAGCGGGGCCGCCGCAGCGCGGAGCCGCUCCCGCCCGGCCCGGCCCCACCGCACCCACCGCCGGGAGGGCUGCGCGCAGCGCCCCUGGCCGAGCGCCCGGCCCCGCAGCAGCGGGCGGGAGGGGCCGGCGCGGGGUCUCGAGCCAUGUGGUCUGCGGGCCACAACAGCCGCAACUGCCGAGGGAAGACGGUGACCGCUCAGGGAAGGACGGAUCCCGACUGAUUCACAUCCAGGUCCCUCAUCCAUGUGUUAAAGGGAGUUUGAUCUUCCACAGAGACAUGCACUAGCGUGAACUUCACCCCAAGGAGUUAAAUCAGCUUUUGCUAUGGAAACUCACAUGAUAAAAAUAGAUCCUCCUGCUCUAAAGGAUUUGUACUGUGCAUGAUUUAAUGGGGCUUAUUGAACUAUCCCAUGCAGUUUGUUUUGUUGCUCAGAAAACAUUCAUCAAAAAUUUCUUUCUUUCACCAAGAUUCACUUGAAGAGGUUCUGCUGUACUGGCCACAGUAAAGGAAAAUACUAACAUUCUCAAACAAAAAAGGCAAGCUUGUGCUUCUUAGCAUUUUGGCUAAAAAUAAAGAAGUUUUACUUAGUGAGAACA
rnacentral:lncRNA from 1 species